rnacentral:rRNA from 1 species
GAUGAACGCUGGCGGCGUGCCUAAUACAUGCAAGUCGAGCGGACAGGCGCGGCGCUUGCUCCUCUGACGUUAGCGGCAGACGGGUGAGUCACACGUGUAUACCCUCCCUGUAUGACUGGUAUAACUUCGGAAAACCGGCGCUAAUCCCGGAUGAUCUAUUGAACCGCGUGGGUGGAUAGUAAAAGUCGGUUUUUGCGGCAGUUCUCGCUGGUUACCCGCCUUAUUAGCUAGUUGGUGCGUUAGUGGGUUACCACGGGUUUGAGGGGUAGCCGGCCUUGGAGGGUGGCCGGCCACCUUGGGCCUGAGGGACGGCCCAGCCUCCUACGGGACGCAGCGGUGGGGAGUAUUGCGCAAUGGGCGGGAGCCUGAUGCGGCAACGCCGCGUGCGGGAUGACGGCCUUCGGGUUAUAAACCGCUUUCGCCUGUAACGAAGCGUGAGUGACGGUAAUGGGUAAGGAAGCACCGGCUAACUACGUG